rnacentral:rRNA from 1 species
ACGUAGGAUGCAAGCGUUGUCCGGAAUUAUUGGGCGUAAAGAGCGCGCAGGCGGUCUAUCAAGUCAGAUGUGAAAUAUCCGGGCUUAACCCGGAGGGGUCAUUUGAAACUGGUAGACUAGAGUACAGCAGAGGAUAGUGGAAUUCCCGGUGUAGUGGUGAAAUGCGUAGAUAUCGGGAGGAACACCAGUGGCGAAGGCGACUAUCUGGGCUGAAACUGACGCUGAGGCGCGAAGGCUAGGGGAGCAGACAGGA